rnacentral:rRNA from 1 species
CCUACGGGAGGCUGCAGUGGGGAAUAUUGAACAAUGGGGGCAACCCUGAUCCAGCCAUGCCGCGUGUGUGAAGAAGGCCCUCGGGUUGUAAAGCACUUUCAGUGAGGAAGAACGCCUGGUGGUUAAUACCCAUCAGGAAAGACAUCACUCACAGAAGAAGCACCGGCUAACUCCGUGCCAGCUGCCGCGGUAAUACGGAGGGUGCGAGCGUUAAUCGGAAUUACUGGGCGUAAAGCGCGCGUAGGUGGCUUGAUAAGCCGGUUGUGAAAGCCCCGGGCUCAACCUGGGAACGGCAUCCGGAACUGUCAAGCUAGAGUGCAGGAGAGGAAGGUAGAAUUCCCGGUGUAGCGGUGAAAUGCGUAGAGAUCGGGAGGAAUACCAGUGGCGAAGGCGGCCUUCUGGACUGACACUGACACUGAGGUGCGAAAGCGUGGGUAGCAAACAGGAUUAGAUACCCUAGUAGUC